rnacentral:hammerhead_ribozyme from 1 species
AUCCAGUUGACGAGUCUCAAAUAGGACUAAACACGCGUCCAACCGGAU